GAUGAACGCUGGCGGCGUGCUUAACACAUGCAAGUCGAACGAAGCACUUAAGAUUGCUUCUUCGGAUGACGUCUUUUGUGACUUAGUGGCGGACGGGUGAGUAACGCGUGGGUAACCUGCCUCACACAGGGGGAUAACAGUUAGAAAUGACUGCUAAUACCGCAUAACCCGAUAGGAUCGCAUGAUCCAGACGGAAAAGAUUUAUCGGUGUGAGAUGGACCCGCGUCUGAUUAGCUAGUUGGUGAGGUAACGGCCCACCAAGGCGACGAUCAGUAGCCGGGCUGAGAGGGUGAACGGCCACAUUGGGACUGAGACACGGCCCAAACUCCUACGGGAGGCAGCAGUGGGGAAUAUUGCACAAUGGGGGAAACCCUGAUGCAGCGACGCCGCGUGAGUGAAGAAGUAUUUCGGUAUGUAAAGCUCUAUCAGCAGGGAAGAAAAUGACGGUACCUGACUAAGAAGCCCCGGCUAACUACGUG
rnacentral:rRNA from 1 species